AUUGAACGCUGGCGGCAGGCCUACCACAUGCAAGUCGAACGGAGUGGCGGACGGGUGAGGAAUGUCUGGGAAACUGCCUUAUGGCUGGGGAUAACUAAUGGAAACGGUAGCUAAUACCGCAUACUAUCCGAUGAGCCUAGGUCGGAUUAGCUAGUUGGUGAGGUAAUGGCUCACUACGGCGACGAUCCGGAAAUGGUCUGAGAGGAUGAUCAGUCACACGGGAACUGAGACACGGUCCAGACUCCUACGGGAGGCAGCAGGGGGGAAUAUGGGACAAUGGGCGAAAGCCUGAUCCAGCCAUGCCGCGUGUGUGAAGAAGGUCUUCGGAUUGUAAAGCACUUUAAGUUGGGAGGCGUUACCGACAGAAUAAGCACCGGCUAACUCUGUGCCAGCCGCCGCGGUAAUUC
rnacentral:rRNA from 1 species